GGAGAUUUAGCUCAAUGGUAGAGAGCACUUGCCUAACAAGCACAAGGCCCUGGGUUCAGUCCCCAGCACCA
rnacentral:tRNA from 1 species